AUUGAACGCUGGCGGCAGGCUUAACACAUGAAAGUCGAACGAGUGGCGGACGGGUGAGUAAUGCUUGGGAAUCUAGCUGAUGGGGGGGGAUAACUACGGGAAACUGUAGCUAAUACCGAGUACCCUAGGAUGAGCCCAAGUGGGAUUAGGUAGGUGGUGAGGUAAAGGCUCACCAAGCCGACGCUCCCUAGUUGGUCUGAGGGGAUGACCAGCCACACUGGGACUGAGACACGGCCCAGACUCCUACGGGAGGCAGCAUUGGUGAAGAUUGCGCAAGGGGAGCAACCUGACGCAGCGAUGCCGCGUGAAUGAAGAAGGCCUUCGGGUUGUAAAGUUCUUUCAGUAGCGAGGCGUUAGCUACAGAAGAAGCAACGUCUAACUCCGUGCCAGCUGCCGCGUUAAUAC
rnacentral:rRNA from 1 species